UGAUCUGCCCAUCUCAGCCUCCCAAAGCGUUGGAAUUACAGGCGUGAGCCACCGCGCCGGCCCAUUUCCCUACCACAUCUGCACAGUUCCUUUUGCCAGCUAACCUGAAGCAGGUGUGAUGGUCCAGCCACCAACUUGGACCAAGGGAAGGCAGAGCUCUGCUUAGUGCUAUGGAGAGAGGUUGUCUGAAGAAGCCUGAUCCCAAGGUCCUUCAGGCUGAUACCAGACGUCUGUGCCAUCCAUCCGGACUUUUAUUACAUUAGAACGAAAUAUAGUUUUAUCUUAUUUAA